rnacentral:rRNA from 1 species
AUUCUUCAAAGAUAAGCCAUGCAAGUCUAAGUACGCACGGUCGGUACAGUGAAACUGCGAAUGGCUCAUUAAAUCAGUUAUGGUUCCUUUGAUCGCUCUACCGUUACUUGGAUAACUGUGGCAAUUCUAGAGCUAAUACAUGCCAACGAGCGCUGACCUCCGGGGAUGCGUGCAUUUAUCAGACCCAAAACCCAUGCGGGGCCCGCCUGCCGCCCGGUCCCCCCGGGGGCUCGGCGCGCAGGCUCCCCGGCCGCUUUGGUGACUCUAGAUAACCUGGAGCCGAUCGCUGGCCCUCAGGUGGCGGCGACGUCUCAUUCGAAUGUCUGCCCUAUCAACUUUCGAUGGUACGCUCUGUGCCUACCAUGGUGACCACGGGUAACGGGGAAUCAGGGGUUCGAUUCCGGAGAGGGAGCCUGAGAAACGGCUACCACAUCCAAGGAAGGCAGCAGGCGCGCAAAUUACCCACUCCCGACGCGGGGAGGUAGUGACGAAAAAUAACAAUACAGGACUCUUUCGAGGCCCUGUAAUUGGAAUGAGUACACUUUAAAUCCUUUAGCGAGGAUCCAUUGGAGGGCAAGUCUGGUGCCAGCAGCCCGGGGAAUUCCA